rnacentral:rRNA from 1 species
UACGUAGGUGGCAAGCGUUGUCCGGAAUUAUUGGGCGUAAAGCGCGCGCAGGCGGUCCCUUAAGUCUGAUGUGAAAGCCCACGGCUCAACCGUGGAGGGUCAUUGGAAACUGGGGGACUUGAGUACAGAAGAGGAAAGCGGAAUUCCACGUGUAGCGGUGAAAUGCGUAGAGAUGUGGAGGAACACCAGUGGCGAAGGCGGCUUUCUGGUCUGUAACUGACGCUGAGGCGCGAAAGCGUGGGGAGCAAACGGG